rnacentral:rRNA from 1 species
UACAGAGGUCUCAAGCGUUUGUUCGGAUUCAUUGGGCGUAAAGGGUGUGUAGGUGGCGCCGUAAGUCGGGUGUGAAAUUUCGGAGCUUAACUCCGAAACUGCAUUCGAUACUGCGGUGCUUGAGGACUGGAGAGGAGACUGGAAUUCAUGGUGUAGCAGUGAAAUGCGUAGAGAUCAUGAGGAAGACCAGUGGCGAAGGCGGGUCUCUGGGCCGAUACUGACGCUGAGGAGCGAAAGCGUGGGGAGCGAACAGG